rnacentral:lncRNA from 1 species
UCUGAGUUACACCCCCAGCCCUUUUUUUAUUUUAUUUUGAGGCAGGGUCUUUUUAUAUAUAUAUAUAUUUAUUUUAUUUAUUUAUUUAUUUUGGUUGUAGUUGGACACAAUACCUUUAUUUCACUUAUUUAUUUUUAUGUGGUGCCGAGGAUCGAACCCAGAGCUUCACACAUGCUAGGCGAGCAUUCUACAACUUGAGCCACUACCCCAGUCCUUUAGGCAGGGUCUUUCUAAAUUGCCCAGGCUGAUCUCAAAUUUUUAAUCCUGCCUCAGCUCCUAAGUAGCUGGGAUUAUAGGCAUGCACUGCAACACCUGGCUUUUCUUUUCUUUUUUUUUCCCUUCCUCUUUGGCAGGGUUGUCUUUUCUAUUAUGUUUAUUUCCCCUUGGGCUGCUUUGAUUCUGAGGCAAGCACUGGAGUAUCUCUUGUCUAUAUUGUCACCUGUCGAAACUGAGGCCCCACCACCAUGACCCCUUUACCUACUCAAACAACCUGCAACUCUGAGCAGGGCUGAGCAGCUCUGGCUCAGCAGGUUUCUGGCCUUAAAAGUUCAGCUUCCUCAUCCAUGAAAUGAGAAUAAUGAUUUUGCCCAACUUGUUGUGGGAACAAAUGAAGGUGGGUUUCCAGUGCUUCUCCCAGUGUCAGGCCUUCCCUCUACCUUUUGUCUUCUUGCACAAAGAUCUGCCAGCUGAAUACCUGACAAACAGGAACCUUAGCCAGGUGAGCAAUCACCAGUCACAAGUCCUGCUGUUGGUGUGCACAUUUGAUUUGAUGAAAUUGGCCCUUUACCUUUGUGACCACUUCCUAAAGGUCCCUAACUCAGUGGUUAAUGAGGAAAACACCAAAUAGACUCCAGUGGCAGGGCAUUCUAUGAAAUACCCGGACAAGGUCAAAAACAAGGAAAGUCUUAAGAAACUGCCACAGCUAAGAUUUGCCUAGAGAUUGGACGACUGAGUAAGUAUCUCCUGGGUGGGGUCCAGGAACAGAGAAAGGACAGUUGGAGGAAAUAAGCAAUUGAAAUAAACUAUACAUUUUGGUUAAUCGUGAUGUAGAAAUAAGGGUUCAUUAAUAAGCUUAUUAUACUAAUAAUGUAAGAUGAUAAUACCAUAAUAUAGGGCAUGAUGCCAAGUAUGUAGGAAUCCUGUUGUCCUCUGAGUUUUCUCUGCAAAUAACUGUUUAAAAAAAAAAAAAACAGGCUUAGUGGCUCUUACCUGUAAUCCCAGUGACUCAAGAGGUCGAGGCAGUAGGAAAACAAAUUCAAAGCCAGCCUCAGCAACUUAGCAAGGCCCUCAGUAACUUGGUGAGACCCUCAAAAUAAAAAAAUAAGGGCUGGGGAUGUGGCUCAAGCGGUAGCGCACUCGCCUGGCAUGCGUGCGGCCCGGGUUCGAUCCUCAGCACCACAUACAAAGAUGUUGUGUCCGCCGAAAACUAAAAAAUAAAUAUUAAAAAAAAAUUUCUCUCUCUCUCUUUAAAAAAAAAAAAAAAGGAAUGGGGAUGGGGGAACUCGGUGGUUAAGUGCCCCUGAGUCCAAUUCCCAGUCCAAAAAAAAGUCUGGCGCUGUGGAUGUAGUGUAGCAUGGUAUGCUUGAUACCUUGGGUUCAGUGCCCAGCAGCACUUCCAUCCCCCUGCAAAAAAAAAAAGUCUAGUGAAAAACCUGGAAAUAUCUUUGAAAAUCCAAUUCUAGAACUGGAGAUAAAGCUUAGUGGUAGAGUACUUGCCUAGCAUCCAUGAGGCUCUGGGUUCAAUUCCCGAUACUGGCCCCAAAAGACAAAUCCUAGUCCCAACCCUUAGAUGCUAAUGCAGGUCUGAGGUGGGGCCCAGGCACCUGCGUUUUUAGCAGUUUCUUCAUGUGACUACAAUGCUAGCUCUUUAAGAAAGUGUGCUCCAUUAGAGGCCAACAAGCAGCUGUCUUUUUCUUCUGAUGUUUGGGAUUGACAGAGUCCCACAAACGGAAUGAUUUCAACCAUAAAAACUUACUGUCUUACUUCUGGAGUCUGAAAGCCUAAGACCAAAAUGUCUGUAGGGUUGGCUCCUUCUGAGGCUGAGGGAGAGCCAGUACCAUGCUGCUGCCUCCCUUCUGGUGGUUUGCUGGCAAUCUUUGGUGUACUUUGGCUUGCAGAAGCAUCCACCAAUUUCUGCCUUCAACUUCAUAUGGUGUUAUCCAUCCAAAUCUGUCUUCAAAUUCUCCCCCUUUAUGAGAACACCAGUCACAUGUGAGGUUCACCUUGCUCUAUUAUGGCCUCCUCCUAACUAAGUGCAUCCACAAUCACCCAGUUUUCAAAUUAGGUGGCAUUCUGAGGUACUGGGGUUUAGGACUUCAUUCAGAUUUGAAGGUGGUUUAGACCCAGCAGCUGGGCCGGCUUAGUGCUUCUCAGCACAUUGUCC